GGCAUUUUUUCGUAAUCUUCCUUCCCCCUUAUCUUUUAUCAUCUCACGCCUCCCCCUCCCCUCAUUUCACGUAGCAAGCAGCCCACACCCCCAUUCCUUAUUCUUUCUUGAUUUCUGCACUUCUUUCUCCCUCAAAUCUCACUCACGCACCCCACCUAUCCUUUCCCUCAUCUCCUUUCUCUUCGUCUCCUCUAUCACACGCACUCAUUGAGAUACCAAGAUGGAAAGAUUCAGGCAGAAAUGGAGGGUGAGAUGCUGUCCGGCCAUGGGGUGUGUGUGAGGCACGUAAGGUGGAGACUUCAAUUGUUCCCCAACGGCGAGUUCAAGAUGAAGUUCCAUUGACUGCAGGUACUCCGGUUGUAGUUGAUGACGUUGUAGAAGUGUACUUGGAAUAUUAUGACUGAAACUCGCCGCAACGAUCGUAAUUGGUGGACCACGGAUUGUCCAUUGUCUUAUAGGUUCUGUUAUAUAUUUAUAUUGAGGAAAGACUUAAACAAAUAGAUGUUAAAUGGCUCUUAUUGUUGUCAAUUUGUGAUAGAUGUAAAAGAUGUGAUUUCUGCUAUUAGGUUUAUGCCUUCUGCUACAUAGUAGAUAGAUGUUAUACUCUGA